GACGAACGCUGGCGGCGUGCUUAACACAUGCAAGUCGAACGGAAAGGCCCUGCUUUUGUGGGGUGCUCGAGUGGCGAACGGGUGAGUAACACGUGAGUAACCUGCCCUUGACUUUGGGAUAACUUCAGGAAACUGGGGCUACUACCGGAUAGGAGCUCCUGCUGCAUGGUGGGGGUUGGAAAGUUUCGGCGGUUGGGGAUGGACUCGCGGCUUAUCAGCUUGUUGGUGGGGUAGUGGCUUACCCAGGCUUUGACGGGUAGCCGGCUUGAGAGGGUGACCGGCCACAUUGGGACUGAGGUACGGCCCAGACUCCUACGGGAGGCAGCAGGGGGGAAUAUUGCACAAUGGGCGGAAGCCUGAGGCAGCAACGCCGCGGGCGGGAUGACGGCCUUCGGGUUGUAAACCGCUUUCGCCUGUGACGAAGCGGGAGUGACGGUAAUGGGUAAAGAAGCACCGGCUAACUACGUG
rnacentral:rRNA from 1 species